rnacentral:lncRNA from 1 species
UUGCACUCAAUGUCUUUGGGAAACUCAUAUUGGGACAGAAACAAAGCCACAUCUCCUACCUGGUGUCUGGGUGGACAGAGCUUCCAGAAGCAGGCAAAAGUGCAGGGGCCUCUAAACAUUCUUGACCAUGAGGUCAGUCUCCUCUAUUCAUCAUCACUUCACAGGGAGAUUACCAGGACUUUUCACUGUACGCUAAAGAGCUUCUGUGCAGGGAUCAGUGGUUUUGUGCUGAGAAGUCUGGAAGUCUGGCCUAAGACAAGUUCUACACAGGAGACACUGGAGAUAAAGAGGAAGCCGCCAGGGCCCUGUCAAGCAGAAGGACUUGGUGGUCUAGAACCCUUGCCACUACAGGAAAAGCGAGUCUCACUAGUGUGGACCCUACUGAUCAGGGGGUCACUUCUCUGGUGGGGGGCUCAGAAGCAAAAAGAACUCUGCUCCCAGCAUCACCAUUCAGGCCACACAACCCCAGCCUGACCUCCCCUAAUGCCAUAUCACUCUUUGUACUUCUGCUCCUGAGACGCUCGAUUUCUGUCAAGGCAUGCCUGUGGGCUGAGAGUCAGUCUUUUCCUACAACGACCUCAACCUUGGUGUGAGGCUCAACACCAAUCAUCAACCCAUCUAAAUUCAACGUUGUUUUCACCAAGCAGAACAUGGGUGGAGCUGUGGAGUGGCACUAUUGGGAAUGUUGUCUCGUGUGAUCCCUAACUCUAAGUGUGUGUUGAAGGGAUGUAUCACUGGAAAAAGGGGGAAGUGCUUUAUCUGUUUUCUUGUAAAUUUCACUGUCCCUAGUUUUAUCACACAAUCUCUUUUAUUCUCCAUCUUCUCUGAAAUGAUUCCCAGCAGAGACUGCUAAAGGGAAUUAUUACAAACGCCUUUUGUGGGUUAAAAAACAGUAUUGAAGACCAGAUUACAAUUAGAUGGCAAUUUUAAAAACACCAAAAACAGGCAAUGAGUGAAUAUCAUUGUCAACAUUAUUGUUUCAUUAUCAAAUGGUACAAAACUAUACCUUACUAAUGAUGGUAUCUGGUCAUGGG